UGCAGCAGCUCCUCAGCUGGUUCGACCUCUGCAGCCGGAGACAGACGCGGGUUUAUUCCUCACCACACUCAGCGAGCUC